GCUGCAUGCCACGCACCCCAGAUUAGUUUCAGUUCGUCUGGAACCUGUGAAGUGGAUUCACUCUUACCUUGCUUGAACCACCAUUUGCCAACACUUCACAAAAGAAUUGCUGUGGAUUCUCCAGCGGCUGUGUGAGCCACGUGAACUCUUUCGAAGGAAGGUGCUAUAGAUUUCUCACCAUUUGACCAUGAAUCUAAUACCAUGCCUACCACAUCGCAGGUAUGCAGUAGGUGGAACUGAUAUAGUGUGGAUAUGCACGCUUCGUGUGACCAAGCAAACAUGACUUAUACAUAAGGACGGGUAGUCCCUGCCAUAGGUAUGCCCUCUGUGAGAGAUGGUGAAUCAACACAAGAUGUUUCCCUCUUUUUCUAGUAAGAAAGGUCUUAUGGAACAUCCUGCCCGAGGUCGAGAGAGCCCUGGACACUCCUGCAUUUCCUGUGCCCUGGCACAUUUUAUUACUGAGCAGGCUUCCCUGUCCCCUGCUGACAUUUGAGUGAAGUGCUUCACUUCACUUCCACUUUUUAUGGCCUCAUCUUCUGUUCAUGACCACUCUCUCUGUAGGGUAGGAACCCACUUUUGAAGGUCUGUCCAACUUUGUUGACUGUCAUUCAGCAAGGUGUCUGAAUCCCAAAUGUGCCAUCACCAGGGGCUAUGGGGGCAGGGUGUGUGUGUGUGUGUGUGUGUAAUGUGUUUCCAGUUAUCUAUUGCUAUAGUGUGCUCUGAAAUGUCCCCACAAAGGCCCUGUGUUAAGGUUGGUCACCACCCUGCAUUUAUCUGACAGGUAAAGGAGCCUUUAAGAGAUGGGGCCUAUUGGAGUAUGCCUUAGAAGUGGACAUUGGGACCUUGGAUCCUAACCAUUGUCUCCUUCACUUCCCGCCUGUCAGGAAGUGAGAGGAUGUCUGUCUGUCUGUCUGUCUGUUUGUUUCAGAAGCCCCAAAGCAAUGGAGGCAAAUCUUAAAUGCUUGCUGUCAGCAGGACAUCAGAGAGACAGAAGCAAGGCAAGUGUAGUGGCUGUUCCUGG